ACUUUAAUUGAAGAGUUUGAUCAUGGCUCAGAUUGAACGCUGGCGGCAGGCCUAACACAUGCAAGUCGGACGGUAACAGGAAACAGCUUGCUGUUUUGCUGACGAGUGGCGGACGGGUGAGUAAUGUCUGGGGAUCUGCCCGAUGGAGGGGGAUAACCACUGGAAACGGUGGCUAAUACCGCAUAACCUCUUGGGAGCAAAGUGGGGGACCUUCGGGCCUCACGCCAUCGGAUGAACCCAGAUGGGAUUAG
rnacentral:rRNA from 1 species